ACGAACGCUGGCGGCGUGCUUAACACAUGCAAGUCGAGCGGAAAGGCCCUUUCGGGGGUACUCGAGCGGCGAACGGGUGAGUAACACGUGAGUAAUCUGCCCUGCGCUCUGGGAUAGCCACCGGAAACGGUGAUUAAUACCGGAUAGGACCACUUCACGCAUGUGAUGGUGGUGGAAAGUUUUUUCGGCGCAGGAUGUGCUCGCGGCCUAUCAGCUUGUUGGUGAGGUAACGGCUCACCAAGGCUUUGACGGGUAACCGGCCUGGGAGGGUGACCGGUCACACUGGGACUGAGACACGGCCCAGACUCCUACGGGAGGCAGCAGUGGGGAAUAUUGGACAAUGGGCGGAAGCCUGAUCCAGCAACGCCGCGUGAGGGAUGACGGCCUUCGGGUUGUAAACCUCUUUCAGUACCGACGAAGCGAAAGUGACGGUAGGUACAGAAGAAGGACCGGCCAACUACGU
rnacentral:rRNA from 1 species